rnacentral:pre_miRNA from 1 species
AGCUUUUUGAAUCCGUGCUGAGAUUUUUUUUUUUUCCAACCCAUUAGGGCUGAUCAGACUUCCAAGAUAAGUGAAGUU